rnacentral:rRNA from 1 species
GACGAACGCUGGCGGCGUGCUUAACACAUGCAAGUCGAACGAAGUGGCGAACGGGUGAGUAAUACGUGGGUAACCUGCCCUCCUUUUUGGGAUAAGCCUUGGAAACGGGGUCUAAUACCGAAUAAAGGGGGAUGGGCUCGCGGCCUAUCAGCUUGUUGGUGGGGUAGUGGCCUACCAAGGCGACGACGGGUAGCCGGCCUGAGAGGGCGACCGGCCACAUUGGGAAUGAGAUACGGACAAAAUUCCUACGGGAGGCAGAAGUGGGGAAUAUUGCACAAUGGGGGAAACCCUGACCCAGCAACGCAGCGUGAAGGAAGACGGUCUUCGGAUUGUAAACUUCUUUAGACAGGGACGCGGUACCUGUAGAAUAAGCCACGGCUAACUACGUGCCAGCCGCCGCGGUAAUUC